rnacentral:rRNA from 1 species
GCACAACGCGAAGAACCUUACCUACCCUUGACAUGUCUGGAAUCCUGAAGAGAUUUAGGAGUGCUCGCAAGAGAACCGGAACACAGGUGCUGCAUGGCUGUCGUCAGCUCGUGUCGUGAGAUGUUGGGUUAAGUCCCGCAACGAGCGCAACCCUUGUCAUUAGUUGCUACGAAAGGGCACUCUAAUGAGACUGCCGGUGACAAACCGGAGGAAGGUGGGGAUGACGUCAAGUCCUCAUGGCCCUUAUGGGUAGGGCUUCACACGUCAUACAAUGGUCGGGACAGAGGGUCGCCAACCCGCGGAGGGGAGCCAACUCCACGAAACCCGACUCGUAGUCCGGAUCGCAGUCUGCAGCUCGACUGCGUGAAGUACGGAAUCGCUAGUAAUCGCGAAUCAG